rnacentral:rRNA from 1 species
UACAGAGGGGGGCAAGCGUUGUUCGGAAUUACUGGGCGUAAAGGGCGCGUAGGCGGCCUGUUAAGUCGAACGUGAAAUCCCCGGGCUCAACCCGGGAACUGCGUCCGAUACUGGCAGGCUUGAAUCCAGGAGAGGUGAGUGGAAUUCCGAGUGUAGAGGUGAAAUUCGUAGAUAUUCGGAAGAAACACCAGUGGCGAAGGCGACUUACUGGACACAUAUUGACGCUGAGGUGCGAAAGCGUGGGGAGCAAACAGG